rnacentral:rRNA from 1 species
GGGCCCGCACAAGCGGUGGAGUAUGUGGCUUAAUUCGAGGCAACGCGAAGAACCUUACCUGGUCUUGACAUGCCCGUCAUAGUUUUCCGAAAGGAAUUCGUCAGUUCGGCUGGACGGUGCACAGGUGCUGCAUGGCUGUCGUCAGCUCGUGUCGUGAGAUGUUCGGUUAAGUCCGGCAACGAGCGCAACCCUCGUUCCUAGUUGCCAGCGGGUAAUGCCGGGGACUCUAGGAAGACAAACCUCGUGUAGAGGUGGGAAGGUGGGGACGACGUCAAGUCAGUAUGGCCCUUACGACCAGGGCCUGCACACGUGCUACAAUGCCCAGCACAAUGGGAUGCAACGCCGCGAGGUUGAGCAAAUCCACAAAACUGGGCCCAGUUCAGAUCGUAGGCUGCAACUCGCCUACGUGAAGGCGGAAUCGCUAGUAAUCGC